rnacentral:pre_miRNA from 1 species
AAAGUACUCCCUCCGUCCCAAAAUUCUUGUCUUAGAUUUGUCUAGAUACGGAUGUAUGAUGUCACAUUUUAGUAUUAGAUACAUCAUACAUCCGUAUCUAGACAAAUCUAAGACAAGAAAUUUGGGACAGAGGGAGUAGUUG